GGUUUCAGCCCAAGGAUGACAACGUGCCCAGGUUUUCAGUGAGGAAGGGUGCCUGGGCAGCUUCAGGAGGGAGAACACCUGAGGGGUGAAGACCCCGCCUUCUGCGCAAAGAGAAGAGGAGAAGCUGUGAGGGGCACAGCAGGUGCCCUGGGGCUGAGCCGGGACAGACGCUGCAGAAACAGCUGGAGGGGAAUCAAUUUGUUCUCUGCUACAGCCAGACAGAAACCAAUUAGAGCGGACCCAACAGGGGCCUCGGUGUGGGGAGAGACAAACACGAGGAGGGCAAAUCCAGGCAUGUUAAUCCUUGCUGGGACUUUCCAGCUGCCCGUGGGACAGAGCCCAGGCUCGCAGGAAGGUGGCCCAGACGGCCUCUGUCCUCUCGUCCCCUCUGUGUCCUGCUGCACCCCCGCCCCUCCUCCUCCCACCCAGACACGCAGCCUCAGGGAGGUGUGGGCUCCUGCCCCGGGUGUCCUGCCAGUCUGUCCUCCGCAGGCCGGUCCCCAGACCCACGCACCCCCAGGCGCGUUCCUCCAGCCCCACCUGCCGGUUCCCUCCACUGCACUGGACUUGGCUCCGUGGGGGCUCCAGCGAGAGCACUGGGAAGAUGGGGGGCUCCAGUCUGAGCUCAGCACUGGGACUUCCCCCCACAUCCGUGAGCAGGGGACCCGCACACGCAGUGCGCCUCCAGACGCCCACUCUGAUCACAAUGCUCCCCCCCGCACCCCCCCCCCAGAAAUAAGCCACCAGCUGUGCCCAGGCCAGAGCCUGCGGACCCCCCCCAACCGCUGCUGGUGCCUGGUGCCGUGUGGGAUGUGAGAGAGCCCUGUGCGGGCCCCCUACACGCGGUGGGGUCCGGUUUGGCAGGAACCAGCAUUUCGGCGUCUACAGCCUGAGAAGGGUCUGGGCUGUGCCUUCUCGGGGGGGCUCCUGGUUCCCAGCGUGGGCCUUCCAAGGAGUGGCAGCUGGGGACGGCUCUUUUCCUCCCCCAGUCUAGGAUCUAGGGAGGUCCAAGGAGGGCGGUCCUAUGUCCCUAUGUGUGAUGUUGCCACCUCCUGCCUGUCCCCACACCCAGGACCCUCGGCACCCAUCGUGGUUUCUUGAGUGCCUCCUGCCUGCCAGCGUCGGGCAGGGGCCCAGGCCGCACCUUCCCAGUUUAGAGGACAGGCCAUCUCGCGGGCCAUGAGGACUGGUGGGCAGUCUGUGAAGGCUGCCUGGAGGAGGGGACGCUCGGGCUGGCAUGGUAGGACAGUGAGGAUGUGCCCUGGGCAAAUGGGGGGACAGUCCUGGAGACCUCCCGUCUUCUACUCGCCCUGUGCCCCCCCCGGUGCCCCGCCCUCCCCAUGGAGUCCCCCCCCCUGCCCCUGCCACUCUGGGAUGGCCUCGGGACCCCCUUCCAGGAGCCCCCCUCCCCAGCUCCUUGCAGAGGCACACGCAGCUCAGGAAGCUUAUUUCAGUCUGUUGGUUUUUUUCCUUUUUUUAAUCUCUCUUUCUCUAAAGGAAAAAUCCAUGAAGAACUUCUGGUAAAUAAAAUCACCCCCCCUCGUUCCGAGU
rnacentral:lncRNA from 1 species